UACAGAGGGUGCAAGCGUUAAUCGGAAUUACUGGGCGUAAAGCGUGCGUAGACGGUUACAUAAGUCGGGUGUGAAAGCCCCGGGCUCAACCUGGGGAAUUGCAUUCGAGACUGCGUAGCUAGGGUGCGGAAGAGGGAAGCGGAAUUCCGGUGUAGCGGUGAAAUGCGUAGAUAUCGGAAGGAACACCAGUGGCGAAAGCGGCCUGCUGGGCAGUUGCUGACACUGAGGCGCGACACGUGGGAGCAAACAGGG
rnacentral:rRNA from 1 species